AGAUUUCUUACACUCUCAGCGUAAGCGAGCGGAAAGAGAGCAAUUUUGGCCUUCGCCAAAAAAGUGGCUGCAUAGUGCCAAACCAAUGGUAUGGCCGUUACGCAUCUUGUUAUUCUAGUGUCUUUGUUAUGACCAUGUACACCCACACUACCUAGAAUGCCGAAAGGAUUUUCGGACAUCACCCAUUAUCCGCACGUUGGUGUCACUCAAACAUUCCGGCAGUGAUCACUUUUGAUUUGAUUUGAAAUGGUCAAAGCAAAAGUGUGGGAAUCCUCUGGGACUACAAAUCUCCGCCGAAACUUUCCCCGCAAAAGUGUUUAUUGAGACGGCAUUUCUUUUGACGUAUUCACAUUCGUAGGAUCACCUAAUCCUGAGGAGCUCCGGGGCAUCAGAAGGGACGUGCAAACUAAACGUGGAUGUGUGUUGUUUCCCCUGUCUGGCUAACCAUCUUUUCGCGACCCAAAGUUGAACGGCACGACGCCGACAAAUUGGACUCGCGAUUUACUCCAGAUUGAGUGACAAAUUCAGCACCAGCGGCCGUUGAAAUUAUGGUGGCGGUCGCCGCCUUCAGACUACAGUAGUCAAGGAAUGUUACCCUGGAAGACUCCUGAUCCAACGAACGUGGCCAUCGCUGCGCUGAUGUGUGAACAUUUUGGGCCUUUGAGAAAUUCUGUUGUUUUCCCCCACAAGUGGUAAGAAACACAA